rnacentral:rRNA from 2 species
CAUUACUGGGCUCGCGGUCGAGUUGUAAUUUGUAGAAGGUGCUUCGGGAGCGGCGAAGGUCCAAGUCCCUUGGAACUGGGCGUCGUAGAGGGUGAGAACCCCGUACAGGACCCCUCGCCAAACCCGUGUGAAGCCCUUUCGACGAGUCGAGUUGUUUGGGAAUGCAGCUCUAAAUGGGUGGUAAAUUUCAUCUAAAGCUAAAUAUCUGCCGGAGACCGAUAGCGCACAAGUAGAGUGAUCGAAAGAUGAAAAGCACUUUGAAAAGAGAGUCAAACAGUACGUGAAAUUGUUGAAAGGGAAGCGCUCGGAACCAGACUCGCUCGCGGGUGCUCAGCCGCCCCCCGGGGCGGUGUACUCGCCCGCGAUCGGGCCAGCAUCGGUUCCGGCGGCCGGACAAAGGCCCUGGGAACGUAGCUCUCCCCGGAGAGUGUUAUAGCCCGGGGCGUAAUGCGGCCCGCCGGGACCGAGGACCGCGCUUCUGCUAGGAUGCUGGCGUAAUGGUUUCCAGCGACCCGUCUUGAAACACGGACCAAAGGAGUGGACCAACCGCGCGAGUGUUUGGGCGUUAAACCCCGACGCGCAAUGAAAAUAAACGUAGGUGGGAGCCUUCGGGUGCACCAUCGACCGAUCCUGAUGUCUUCGGACGGAUUUGAGUAUGAGCGUUGCUGGUCCGACCCGAAAGAUGGUGAGCUAUGCGUGAAUAGGGUGAAGCCAGAGGAAACUCUGGUGGAGGCUCGCAGCGGUUCUGACGUGCAAAUCGAUCGUCAAAUUUGCGUAUAGGGGCGAAAGACUAAUCGAGCUUU